AAACUAAUGGCCAGUAGGCUUAUGGGGCUGAGGAGCGGGGAGGGGGACUUGUGAGGGCGGGUCCAGGAGGGAGGCAGAUCAGUGGGGGCCAAAAUUGGAACAACUCAGCACAUACAGUUUCAGAGACCAGCAAUGAAUGACAGGGGCUGGCCCAACCCUUCUCAGGUCUACAACAGAGCUGACAGAGCAGUGGGAAGCUCCUUUACCAAGGUCUUGUGCUACUGCUCCUGGCUUGGCUUGAGGAAGAGUCCAAGUGCUAAAUCUUCCUAGACGACUCUACAGGAGGAGGAGGAACAGGAAGGCUGCAGUCGCCUGCUGUGGUUAGAAUUCUGUCUCUUCUUUGCAAGGCCAGGAAGGGGUCCGUCUGUAGCAGGGUUCAGGGAGAUCCGGGGAGAGACCAAUUGGGAUCUAAGCCCUUUGCUUUCUCAUGGACACAGACUAAGCCUGGGUCCUUCUCCUAACUUCUCUGGAAAGUUAGGAGACUUGAGACGGAGUUCCCACGGCAGCUUGGUACGCGGAGGAAAGUCACACGUGCCAACUGGCGUCAUCACUGUCCUUUUUGCAGUCAAAAAGAUGCUCAGCAACUUUGAUGGAUUCAGCUGUGAAGUACUCAGAGGAGAGUCAAGAGAACAAUGUAAAUAUGGGGAGCACCAGGCAUUCCCCCAAAUAAGCAUAUGCUUGCAGCAUGAGUCUUUCCACAGCCCCAUCCCCAGCCUCCAUAUUGUGAGCAUCUUGCACACCAGUGUUUAAAGCCACAUUAUGUCUUUUCGGUAGAACCUGACCUCAAAACACAAGCCAAGCCGAGUGUUUCUGUGGGUGCUCUGCCACAGACUGCCAUCUGUUCUCGUGCUGGAGGGAAGCUGGCUGCGUGGUAUUUACGGGCACGCCGCUUUUCAGCUAACUUCCCACCUCCCCGAGGAUUUCCCCUGUCCCUCAAGGGUGACUUUGGUUGUACUCGAUUUUCUCCUAAAUGCUGAUUUGGGAAUCCAGCCACGAUGCUGUACGAAACAUAACUGAAACGUGUGGUGUGGCCUUGCUACUGAGCUGUGCGCUCCAUCGUGUCGUGUUUCUGUCGCAGUGUCCAGCAUGCUGCAUCUGUGGGACCAGGAGUGCAUGGAGAAUUCUGCCAGAGGACAGCUGAGAUUGGGCUCCGGAUGGGCCUCGAUCCCUCUCCCGGAGAUGAUCUGAUUAUUUUACCUCAAAGCCGGGUCAAAGUGACAAUAAUGGUAUCUUCUAAUACUUCUUUGGAGUGUUCAAUCUAACAACUGAAUGCUCUCGUCGAAACACAAACAGUGGACACCCACAUACGUUGCAUCAGGCUGUGAACUUGGACCUUUCAUGAGAAUCACACAGUAAAACUCAGUUCACUCGGGGCUGGGGAUUUAGCUCAGUGGUAGAGCGCUUACCUAGGAAGCGCAAGGCCCUGGGUUCGGUCCCCAGCUCCGAAAAAAAGAACCAAAAAAAAAAACAAAAACAAAAAAAAAAACAAAAAACAAAACAAACAAACAAAAAAAAACCCAACUCAGUUCACUUGAUGAAGGAUCUGUGUGAAUGGAUGAGUGAAGCCAUAUGCCUCCUCCACCAGGUAACUAUGCAAGCCCUUCCCCCUUGACUCCCAGGGUCCCACUAACACACAGAAGACUCCGGAACUGAAUUUGCAAGUCACAACUUAAGCCUCUUAGCUUUGACCUUGUUCUUUCAUUCCUGACUUGGAUUCCUUCCUGAGGGUGUCCUUAGAGGGCUACAUUCACAGAAAGGAGGUUUUUGUCUUCUUUCUAUAUGUCCUAUACCGAAGAUAGUUAACAGGAAUGGGGCAGUACUAGGGGCCCACCAGGAUCUCAGUAUAAGGGUCAAUACCCUGAAUCUGUUAGAAGAGAAAGAAAUACGUUUCAACUUACAGGCAAAGAUAAAGAGGAACUCAGUGGCACAGAAUGGGACCAACGACUGAGUAGGGGAAGCUCAUGAAACUAAAAAGCUUAUGCACAGCCAAGGACACCACCAUUUGAGUGAAGACACAGGCUGGAGAAUGGGGAAGAAUCUUUACCAUCUAUAUCUGAGAGAGGGUCAGUAUCUAGAACAUGCAAAGAACUCAGAAACUUAAACAUCGAGAAAAGAAAACAAUGCAAUCAAAAAUUGGAGCAUGGGGUUGGGGAUUUAGCUCAGCGGUAGAGCGCUUGCCUAGCAAACGCAAGGCCCUGGGUUCGGUCCCCAGCUCCGAAAAAAAGAAAAAAAAAUUGGAGCAUGGAGCCAAACAGAAUUCUCAAAAGAAGACACGCAGAUGGCCGAGAAAUACAUAAAUCUGGGUGUUCGACUUUCUUAGCCAUGACAAAAUGCAAAUUAGGACUACUCUGGGAUUUCAUCUUGCCCUGGUCAGAAUGGCUGAGAUUAAAAAUAAAACGAAAGAAAAUAAAAUAAGACCACUGGCCUAGAUGUGUGGAAAAGGAAGCCAUUCACUGUCCGCCGUUGCUAGGACUGCAAAUACUGUGGGAACUGGCGUAGAGACUCUCACCGAAACCGAAGGUAGAUUUACUACAGGACCCAGCCACACCCCUUCUGGGCGCAUGCGCCGGAUCAUCAAACCCCUACUGCAGAGAUCGCUGCUCUACGUUCUUUGUUGUCCAAUUGAGCCAGGAAAUAGAAAAAGCCUAGUGUAGGGUGGCUGAAUCUUACCGGAAGUCUUCCCAGCUGGAGAUUACUUCCACAUGUGACUGUACAUAGCCGUCUACAUAAUAAAUAUGUGGUGCAUUUACUCCAGGCAUGGCAUAGUGAGGUAUCAAGCUGGUGCUGCCUCCUUGCUGCCUUUCUUUCUUCCUGAAUCAAGAGACAGGAAGGGAGAUUUCCAAAACCAGACAGCACCGCGAGUUGUCUCCGAGGCAGGGGCAACUCUCAGUUCUCUGGUGCCUGCAGGUUCCUGGCAGCUGAAGCCUCUGAGGGCCCUCCCGGCACGGGCCAUCUCCAGAGACUGAGAAGUGCAGCCAAUCCCCUCUGCCAACACAAAAAGCUGCAAAGGUGUGGGAAGUGUAAACGAAACGCACUGUCGCCUCUGUCAAAGCCAUGACCCUAUCUACCCAGGAGUAAUGCUGCCUUCAUGGAACGAGCUGAACUCCUUUCUGUUUUAUGCGACCUUUGAAGGAACUUUGUUAGCCCUCCUUUGAAAGUCUGGCAGGACUCAUCAGGAUCUGUCUGCGCCUGAGUGUUUCUUACAUAAGUAGACAACAGAAACUCAGGGUUCAGAAUGUGAGCAAAUAUCCUGCAACAGGAAGAAUUUCCUCUUCUUUAAUCACCGCUAACCACACCUGCUGCCGGAAGUCUAUGCAAGGACACGGGAGGAGGAAGCUUUGGCUCUUCGCCUGCUUGUCUUGCCUUGUUAACAAGUCCACUCCUUCACUGGCAUUAGAGCCCACUUCUUCAGGAUUCCAGUAUCUAUGAAGACUGACUGAGACGCCCAGCCCUGUGGACUGAACAACUACUGGAUUUUUGACCUUCCAUUCACAGGCAGCCAUUGUUGGAUUAGUUGGACUACAGCCUCAGGAAACCUGUCAUAACCAAUACGUCCACUUCAUGGCAGUUGCUUCAUGCCUACCUUCUCCUCCGUGUGGGAGCUUCAGAAAGCUGGGCGAGCGCCUGCCUUCUCAUGGAGCUCUGGACACACGGCAUCCAAGACAAAAUGGAGCAGAAUGGACACCGGUGGUAUCAAUACUAUCCGAGGAUGGGAGAUUGGUAUAGAAAGGGAGAAGCUGCCUGACAAGAGUCCAGAAGGCUUGCCAAGAUGGCCAAAUUCUGGUUCAAAUGAUCCAGCUGUGUAAAAAUGGUUUUGUUAAGACUUAAAUCGUAUGAUCUGGGAGGGAAUCUACCCACUGUCUUUGUUGCACUUCUUUUUUUUUUUUUUAAGAUUUAUUCAUUUAUUUAUAUAAGUACACUGUAGCUGUCUUCAGACACACCAGAAGAGGGCAUCGGAUCUCUUUACAGAUGGUUGUGAGCCACCAUGUGGUUGCUGGGAAUUGAACUCAUGACCUCUGGAAGAGCAGUCGGGUGCUCUUAACCGCUGAGCCAUCUCUCCAGCCCCUUUGUUGCACUUCUUUAAAGGGUAUAUAUGUGAGACGUUCUUGUUGUUAGGACUUGAGCUCUUGGGAGUCACAGUCCACUGUGUGGGGAAACCAUCAUCAGCUUCUUUGUUGCUCCCACUGCAAGGCGUGUGCAGACCAAACAUUACCCCAGUUGCUAUCAUCUACAGAACUCUUAUUAACAUAACUACUCUUUUAAAGUUAAUCUUUAUUAACUUAAAAGGAAUUUAUUUAUUUUUACUCUGUGCCUUUGGGUGUUUUGCCUGCAUGUAUGUGUGCGUACCAUGUGUAAGCCUGGCGCCUGUGGAGCCAAGAGAGGGCGUCAGAUCCCCUGGAACUGGAGUUACAGAUGGUGGUGAGCUGCCAUGUGAGUACUGGGAACAGAACCCAGGUCCUCUACAAGAGCAGCCAACAACCUUAUCUCUGAGCCACCUCUCCAAUCCAUGCCCUAUGGAUUGCUUAUUUAUGUUCAAGUUGAACUACACACUUUGUCUGCUUUAUUCACAAGUUUACGGACCGUGCCUAGAAGACACCUUUAUACCUGUUUUACAGAUCAAGGCUGCUAAAGCUAUUCAAUACAGAUAAUAAGCAAUAGAGCCUCUCCCUCCCUCCCUCCCUCUCUCUCUCUCUCUCUCUCUCUCUCUCUCUCUCUCUCUCUCUCUCUAAGACAGGGUGUCUCUGAAACUCAGUCUAUAAACCAGAAGAAUUACUUACCUCUGCCUCCAGAGUGCCGAAAUGAAAGGUGUUUGCCGCCACUGCCCACCGAUAAUGGGGUGAGUUUAAACCCAGUAGUUUUAAGUAAUCUUUCCUGGGACUGACUGUACAGAAACUGGUGUUUUUAUACUGUCAGCAUGUGGCUUGUGUACACCAACAGUCCUACCAAGUGGAGAUAUAAAGAGUUAAUCUUUCGGGUCUGUUUUGCUGUAAAAUUUUGCAAGGGGAAGAAUGAGGAAAGGAAAAACACACCUGCUGGCGUGGCGCUGUCCGCGGUCCUGAAAAGGAAGCUCGCCAAUAAGGCUUUAAUGAGCUUAUCAAAGGAAGGAACAGGGGAAGGCAGAAACGCCUGUGUUAAUAAAGAUCUCGCUGCUAUUCCCUGGGUCUUUAAAGUAAUUAAGCAUCCUCUCCUCCACUGCUGAGUGUGAGGUUUAUUAAACAGAUCAAGCCAGUGCUGACUGAAGGUGUGGGCAGAUUUGCUCAGACGUCUCUACCACCACACUCCCAAAAAACUCCUCACUUUGAUGCCAGUAAGGAAUGUGUGCUUACACUUUUGAAUAAAAGUUUUCGAAUCUGAAUUACAGAUCGUUUUAUGUGACAUGUGUUCUUGGGGGUUGACUUUCCAAAUGUCACCCAAGAUACCAAGAUUAAUUUAAGGAGCUCUCUGUGAAGCCACAUAAAUCCUGUUGUUUGUAGCCACGUUCACUUGCACCUUCCAUUUAUUCAUAAGAAGGCAUUACUUCACGUAUGUUCACAUCAAAGGAUGGAAAAAUACUGUACAAAUGCUGAUAUAAGCAAGAGUUUCAUUUUCACCUUAAUUGUUUAAAACAUUUAUUUAUUUAUUUAUUUAUUUAUUUAUUUAUUUAUUUAUUUAUUGAACGUAAUGUACACACUGCUAUAUGCACAUGGAGGUCAGAGGAAAACUUGAGGGAGUGGGUUCUCUCCUUUCGACAUUUAGGUCCUAGGUGUCAAACUCAAGUAGUCAAGUCAAGUGGCUAAAUCCACUAGCCAUCUCGCUGUCCCUAGUAGCACUUUUUGAAAAGAUGGAGUUGAUGCAGGAUAUGUGGAAACAUUUAAGCUAAGCAUGCCUCCUAUGUCUUUCUGUCAAUCAUGGCUUGUUACAGAAUCUUGAAACACUGUUUCUUAUCAUCCUCAACAUGGCCCCUACUGUGUAACUCACAAAAUCACAUUAAUAAAUAACCUGGGAUCUUGACCUCUUUUUCACUCCAACAUGAUUGACAAGUUUUUUUUCAAAAAUGGUCAUAAGGAGAUGGGGCUGGAGUGAUGGCUUAGUAGUUAAGAGCACUGACUCUUCCAGAGGACCUGGGUUCAAUCCCCAGCACCAACAUGUCAGCUUACAACUGUUUGCAACUUGAGUUCUGGAGUUCCAUUCUCUUCAAACAGAUACACAUGAAGGCAAAAUACCAAUGUGCAUAACAUAAAAAUAAUUAAUUUUUAAAAGAUAUAAGGAGAUUUUGCCUACUAAAUACAUUAAAAGACUCUCUAAAUAUACAUAUAUAUAUAUAUAUCACCCACCCAACUCAUUAUAAACUAUAGCCUACAUAUAUGCUAAUAAGUGUACAUUUGACCAUAAUAAAAGUUCAAUUCUAAAAGGAACAAAUAGUAAAAAGGUAUUAUCUAGGUUCACUUAUGGUUAUUUGAGAAUGUUUUCUCUCUCUCUCUCUCUCUCUCUCUGUCUCUCUCUCUCUCUCUCUCUCUGUGUGUGUGUGUGUGUGUGUGUGUGUGUGUGUGUGUGUGUGUACUCAAGUGGUAGCUUCACAUAUGGGAGGGGCUCUUUCAAAUAAACCUGGAUAUAUAU